rnacentral:lncRNA from 1 species
GGGACCUUUCUUCUUCAACCAAUAUACAACACAAAAACGCCUAGCAGCUGACAUACAAAAAAUGAGAAACCAAAAAGUAGACCGAAGGCCAAAAAGCUGCGGCUGAACAGACCCGUCUUCGUCUCCUUCACACACCACAUCCUAAGUUGCCGGACUUCAUAACACCCCCCUUUACCAACUCACCAGAAACCAACCCACAAACGACCAUCCUUCAGCCGCCCUUCACCCUGCUGCCGUUGUUCUCUUCAUCUUCCUCCUCCAGCAGUUCGCUGAAAAAGCGAGCUCCAGCAGAGAAAUGGCGAACUCGGAAGCCGUAGAACUCUACCAUUGAAACCGGCGAACACACACACACAUACACGGGACAAAAACGUGAAAAACAAAACAAAACUAUAUAACAAAAGGGGAUUUGGAGUGAGUUUUCCGUUCAAGUCAUCGAGGUCAAGUUUUCCAGCGUGGUCUUUGGUAAUCGGGUUUGUUCGAGUUUGCGAUUUCCGCCCAGAUGCCUAGUCUGUAGCUAGCUCGAAGGUUUCCUGUCUUAGAACACUUUCAAAUUCAAAGAGCCGAGGUUCCCUCUUAUCUCUCUGACUUAUGAACCCGUCAUUUGCUUUUCUUGGUGUUGUUUUGAGAUCUUAUUGUCAGCUAAUGACUGAUUCUUAUUUUUUAAAUCUGUUUGGACUGAAUUUUCAAAUAUAAACAUUGUUGAAUUCUUGUUUUUGUGUAUAUAUGUUAACGGGUGAGAGAGCAAAUAAUCCUAAUGAACCAGUAAGUGAUUUCAAAUGGAAUGAUAAAGGAAUUUGGGUCGUGGAGGUGGUAUUGGACGGGAUAAGAAUCUGGUUAAUUGGGGUUUAAACGUGUUUGAGCUUUGGUUACAAUUUACACGUGUGAACUGGAUGCAAUAUCAAUAUUACUUUUAUAUCAUUGUUUUGCUAUUGCUAGUAGCAUGCUUAGGCCGACAACACUCGGGUAGGCAAGCCUUAGGAUUUUGUUAGUUUCGAGGCGAGAGGUCGUUCCCUUAGUUAAAUUUAUCCGGGGAAUGCCCGAGGGAUUUGUAUAUAUUUAUUUUCAGGGGUACGCCCCGAAGUAAAUGUAAAGAGAGGUCAAAAGUAGAAACUUGUAGUAUUUUUAUUUUUAUUUUUCCUUUACUUAGGUGGGGGGCGACCUCGAACCUAUUGUGUGUUUAUUUUCCUUUUUCUAUGUUUUCUACCUCAGUUGAAUACUUUAAAAGACAACUAGAUCGAGUACGCAACCGUGACUUUCACGAGACUUGGGAUGUGCCUAACACCUUCUGCCGAGUCAAAUGAACCCCCUUACCCGAACCUCUGGUGCAAACGUGAUUUUAGAUUCUAAAAUAUUUAAAAAUGGAAAAAUUAUUUUAAAAAAAACGGUGACCUGACACACCGAAAUCAAAGUCAGGUGCCGACUCUGAGUUAAUUCCUUUUGAACAAAUUUUUGUCACUUUCUAAUAGAAAACCCUUUUGAGCUUUACAAAUCUCUUUUAAUAUUUUUACGAGAUUUAGUGAGGUUUUAAAAAAGAGGUAUGACAUCUCUGGCGACUCUGCUGGGGAGUUGUAGGUUCGAGCUGGUACUUGAUCUUGUUGGCUUUUAGGAUAUUCAGUUGAAGUGUUUGUUUUCUUUAUUUGUUUUCUUUAUUUGCUUUGUUUGUCUUAUUUUCUUAUUUUUUUGGUUAUUUGUUUAUUGCUUUCCUUAAUGUGUUUCAUCAUUAAGGAGGGGUACUUGAUCUUGUUUCAUCAUUUGCAUAACCACGAGUCUUCUUUCUGCAAUAAGUCUCGGAGUACGCGUCGCGUGCACGAACUCUUUGUUGAGUCACCCUUAAUUUAGGAGGGGGGCCGUUAAACGUAUGGAGUGGGUGGAAAGCUUGAGCAGCCACCAUCGACCAUACACUCCCCCGAAUUGCUUUGUUAGUGAACCCCAAACUUUGGUCAGCCUUUAGGUCAUUUUUAUUUGCAUAAUGUCAUUUAGACCUAGUAGAGUUCGGUCCCAAGUACCGUGUCCCUUUGUAGAAAGCCUAUCCAAAUUUUGACAAAAUGGGUCCGUGGCCCAAAAAGACAUUCAAUCAUCCCUAUGUGAUACAUGUUGCAUCUUUGAGGGUAAAAAGGUCAGUUGGCGGACCGAUGCUUGGGAAAGAAGGGUGAAAGACGAAGCAAGUAGGGCCCAGUUAUAUUUUUCUUUCACUACUUUUUCAAAAAAAAAAGACAAAAAUAAAAAUGAAAAAUCUAAAAAAAGAUUUUACACUUUCCCAUUAUUUUCAAAAAAUGAAAAAAAAAUGAAAAAGAAAAUCCAAAAGAUUUUACACUUUUCCAUCAUUUUCCAAAAAUUAAAAAAAAAGAAAAUCCAAAAAGAUUUUGUACUUUCCCACCAUUUUUCAAAAAUAAAAAAAAAUCCAUUUUUUUACAUUUUCCAUCAUUUUUUACAAAAAGACAAAAAUAUAUAGUUUUUUCAAAUUAGAUGCUUUUUUUUAAAUUUCUAUCCCGUAUCCAAUCUUUCCGAACUACGCAUACCUAAUUCUCGUCUUUCGGGGUGAUAUAUGUAGGAAACCCACAUAGGGGCCGGUCUUCCUAGUAAGUCUUAGGUUCUUGGCUUCUGGGGUCGUAGCCAAAUCUUACAUGUAUAACCAUAUUUGGCCACAUCAUCCGUUUUUGCAAAAUAGGAUUAUUUUCUCAAAGUAGUUUGUUAUCUCCUGUCUUAGAGCCUUGAGUCUACAAUAAAGUGUCCUCUCACUUCAAGGGCCAUUCCUGUUGAAUUUGAAUGUCUAGCCAUUUUUGGGCCAUAUCGGCCAUUCUCGCAAAAUGGAGUCAUUUUCGCAAAAGUGGUUCAAUUACCCAUGUCUUAGGAUUUUGAGUCCACAACUAGGUGUCAUACUACUUUAAGGUCCUUCCUUUUUGAGUUUGCAUCUUUAGCCACUUCAGGCCAUAUCGGUCGCUUUUGCAAAAUAGGUCAUUUCUGCAAAUUAAUUUUGGGUCAUGAUUAUUGGGAGUUCGAAUCCAUAUAAGCUUUGGUGAGGUUUUUCCAUGUCUUUGAGGUCAUCUUUGUUGAGUUUGCACUAAUAGCCACAGUUUGGCUGCGUAGGUCAUCUUGCAAAAAUAGCCUUAGUCGUGCCUUGCAUGUGUCCAAUAGAAGGUGUCGUGGCGUCACAUGUGUCUUGAGUCUCUAACUCUAUUUGAUCUUAUUUUUCCAUUCAGGUAUAUAUCAAUUUGCUAGAGUUUGAGCACGACAAAUACUCGAGGACCAUUCUAGUCAAAACCAUUGCAUGCACGAGCUGCUUGAGGAAGC